GAAGGUCACGGCGAGACGAGCCGUUUAUCAUUACGAUAGGUGUCAAGUGGAAGUGCAGUGAUGUAUGCAGCUGAGGCAUCCUAACAGACCGGUAGACUUGAACCUUGUUCCUACAUGACCUGAUCAAUUCGAUCAGGCACUCGCCAUCUGUUUUCAUUGCUCAUUGUUCAAAUCCUUGACAACACGAAAAAACAUUGUUCAACUCUUUUUU
rnacentral:rRNA from 1 species